ACAUGCAAGUCGAGCGGUAGAGAGGUGCUUGCACUUCUGCAGAGCGGCGGACGGGUGAGUAAUGCCUAGGAAUCUGCCUGGUAGUGGGGGAUAACGCUCGGAAACGGACGCUAAUACCGCAUACGUCCUACGGGAGAAAGCAGGGGACCUUCGGGCCUUGCGCUAUCAGAUGAGCCUAGGUCGGAUUAGCUAGUUGGUGGGGUAAUGGCUCACCAAGGCGACGAUCCGUAACUGGUCUGAGAGGAUGAUCAGUCACACUGGAACUGAGACACGGUCCAGACUCCUACGGGAGGCAGCAGUGGGGAAUAUUGGACAAUGGGCGAAAGCUGAUCCAGCCAUGCCGCGUGUGUGAAGAAGGUCUUCGGAUUGUAAAGCACUUUAAGUUGGGAGGAAGGGCAUUAACCUAAUACGUUAGUGUUUUGACGUUACCGACAGAAUAAGCACCGGCUAACUCUGUGCCAGCAGCCGCGGUAAUACAGAGGGUGCAAGCGUUAAUCGGAAUUACUGGGCGUAAAGCGCGCGUAGGUGGUUCGUUAAGUUGGAUGUGAAAUCCCCGGGCUCAACCUGGGAACUGCAUUCAAAACUGUCGAGCUAGAGUAUGGUAGAGGGUGGUGGAAUUUCCUGUGUAGCGGUGAAAUGCGUAGAUAUAGGAAGGAACACCAGUGGCGAAGGCGACCACCUGGACUGAUACUGACACUGAGGUGCGAAAGGUGGGGGAGCAAACAGGAUUAGAUACCCUGGUAGUCCACGCGCGUAAACGAUGUCAACUAGCCGUUGGGAGCCUUGAGCUCUUAGUGGCGCACUAAACGCAUUAAGUUGACCGCCUGGGGAGUACGGCCGCAAGGUUAAAACUCAAAUGAAUUGACGGGGGCCCGCACAAGCGGUGGAGCAUGUGGUUUAAUUCGAAGCAACGCGAAGAACCUUACCAGGCCUUGACAUCCAAUGAACUUUCCAGAGAUGGAUUGGUGCCUUCGGGAACAUUGAGACAGGUGCUGCAUGGCUGUCGUCAGCUCGUGUCGUGAGAUGUUGGGUUAAGUCCCGUAACGAGCGCAACCCUUGUCCUUAGUUACCAGCACGUAAUGGUGGGCACUCUAAGGAGACUGCCGGUGACAAACCGGAGGAAGGUGGGGAUGACGUCAAGUCAUCAUGGCCCUUACGGCCUGGGCUACACACGUGCUACAAUGGUCGGUACAGAGGGUUGCCAAGCCGCGAGGUGGAGCUAAUCCCACAAAACCGAUCGUAGUCCGGAUCGCAGUCUGCAACUCGACUGCGUGAAGUCGGAAUCGCUAGUAAUCGCGAAUCAGAAUGUCGCGGUGAAUACGUUCCCGGGCCUUGUACACACCGCCCGUCACACCAUGGGAGUGGGUUGCACCAGAAGUAGCUAGUCUAACCUUCGGGGGGACGGUUACCACGGUGUGAUUCAUGACUGGGGUGAAGUCGUAACAAGGUAGCCGUAGGGAACCUGCGGCUGGAUCACCUCC
rnacentral:rRNA from 1 species